UCCGAAGGGGGCUAGCGUUGCUCGGAAUCACUGGCCGUAAAGGGUGCGUAGGCGGGUUUUUAAGUCAGGGGUGAAAUCCUGGAGCUCAACUCCAGAACUGCCUUUGAUACUGAGGAUCUUGAGUUCGGGAGAGGUGAGUGGAACUGCGAGUGUAGAGGUGAAAUUCGUAGAUAUUCGCAAGAACACCAGUGGCGAAGGCGGCUCACUGGCCCGAUACUGACGCUGAGGCACGAAAGCGUGGGGAGCGAACAGG
rnacentral:rRNA from 1 species